rnacentral:rRNA from 1 species
CACGUAGGGUGCGAGCGUUGUCCGGAAUUAUUGGGCGUAAAGAGCUCGUAGGCGGUGUGUCGCGUCGGCCGUGAAAACCUGCAGCUUAACUGUGGGCUUGCGGUCGAUACGGGCAUCACUGGAGUUCGGCAGGGGAGAGUGGAAUUCCUGGUGUAGCGGUGAAAUGCGUAGAUAUCGGGAGGAAUACCAGUGGCGAAGGCGGCCUUCUGGACGGAUACUGACGCUGAGGCGCGAAAGCCAGGGGAGCAAACGGG